rnacentral:rRNA from 1 species
CUACGGGUUGCUGCAGUAAGGAAUAUUGCGCAAUGGAGGCAACUCUGACGCAGCCAUGCCGCGUGCAGGAAGAAGGCCUUAUGGGUCGUAAACUGCUUUUAUUUAGGAAUAAACCCCCGAACGUGUUCGGGGCUGAAGGUACUAAACGAAUAAGCACCGGCUAACUCCGGGCCAGCAGCCGCGGUAAUACGGAGGGUGCAAGCGUUAUCCGGAUUUAUUGGGUUUAAAGGGUGCGCAGGCGGGCUAUUAAGUCAGUGGUGAAAUCCCGGGGCUCAACUCCGGAACUGCCAUUGAUACUGAUAGUCUUGAGUUUGGUUAAAGUGGGCGGAAUGUAGCAUGUAGCGGUGAAAUGCAUAGAUAUGCUACAGAACACCAAUCGCGAAGGCAGCUCACUAAGCCAAAACUGACGCUCAUGCACGAAAGCGUGGGGAUCAAACAGGAUUAGAUACCCGCGUAGUC